rnacentral:rRNA from 1 species
GACGUAGGGGGCGAGCGUUGUCCGGAUUCAUUGGGCGUAAAGAGCGCGUAGGCGGCCCGGAAAGUGGGGUGUGAAAACCCGAGGCUCAACCUCGGGCGUGCAUUCAAACUCCCGGGCUUGAGGCAGGUAGGGGAGAUCGGAAUUCCUGGUGUAGCGGUGAAAUGCGCAGAUAUCAGGAGGAACACCGGUGGCGAAGGCGGAUCUCUGGGCCUGUUCUGACGCUGAGGCGCGAAAGCUAGGGGAGCGAACAGGA